UACGGGGGGUGCGAGCGUUGUCCGGAAUCACUGGGCGUAAAGGGCGCGUAGGUGGUUUGAUAAGGGUGCGGUGAAAGUCCGGCGCUCAACGCCGGAUCGGCCGUGGAUACUCUCGGGCUUGAGCUUACUAGAGGCAGAUGGAAUUCCGGGUGUAGCGGUGGAAUGCGUAGAGAUCCGGAAGAACACCGGUGGCGAAGGCGGUCUGCUGGGGUAAUGCUGACACUGAUGCGCGACAGCGUGGGGAGCAAACAGG
rnacentral:rRNA from 1 species